rnacentral:rRNA from 1 species
AUUGAACGCUGGCGGCAGGCCUAACACAUGCAAGUCGAACGAGUGGCGGACGGGUGAGUAAUGUCUGGGAAACUGCCUGCUGGAGGGGGAUAACUACUGGAAACGGUAGCUAAUACCGCAUACCAUCAGCUGUGCCCAGAUGGGAUUAGCUAGUUGGUGGGGUAAAGGCUAACCAAGGGGACGAUCCCUAGCUGGUCGGAGAGGGUGCACAGCGAGACUGGAACUGAGACACGGUCCCGACUCCUCCGGGAGGAAGCAGUGGGGAAUAUUGCACAAGGGGGGCAAGCCUGAUGCAGCAAGGCCGCGUGUAGGAAGAAGGCCUUCGGGUUGUAAAGUACUUUCAGCGGGGAGGCGUUACCCGCAGAAGAAGCACCGGCUAACUCCGUGCCAGCAGCCGCGGUAAUUC